AAGUGAAGACACUAAACUUUGUGCCAUUCAUGCUAAGCGAGUUACAAUAAUGCCUAAGGACAUUCAAUUGGCCAGGAGGAUUCGUGGUGAGAGGGCUUAGGUGGUUUCAGCCCUGAAGAACUGUUAUGCUGAUCUUUGAGAGUAGAUUACAUAGUGCUAUUUUGGU